GAUGAACGCUGGCGGCGUGCCUAAUACAUGCAAGUCGAGCGAAUGGAUUAAGAGCUUGCUCUUAUGAAGUUAGCGGCGGACGGGUGAGUAACGCGUGGGUAACCUGCCCAUAAGACUGGGAUAACUCCGGGAAACCGGGGCUAAUACCGGAUAACAUUUUGAACCGCAUGGUUCGAAAUUGAAAGGCGGCUUCGGCUGUCACUUAUGGAUGGACCCGCGUCGCAUUAGCUAGUUGGUGAGGUAACGGCUCACCAAGGCAACGAUGCGUAGCCGACCUGAGAGGGGGAUCCGCCACACUGGGACUGAGACACGGCCCAGACUCCUACGGGAGGCAGCAGUAGGGAAUCUUCCGCAAUGGACGAAAGUCUGACGGAGCAACGCCGCGUGAGUGAUGAAGGCUUUCGGGUCGUAAAACUCUGUUGUUAGGGAAGAACAAGUGCUAGUUGAAUAAGCUGGCACCUUGACGGUACCUAACCAGAAAGCCACGGCUAACUACGUGCCAGCCGCCGCAGUAA
rnacentral:rRNA from 1 species